rnacentral:misc_RNA from 1 species
AGGGCGCAUACAUGCACUCGCGCCGCUUCUUCUCUCAGACUCGUCGUUGAGCCGGAGUCGGCACGCACCACCGAUACAAGUCUCGGCAGCCGUGCCUGUGACUCGGUGGAAGCUGCUGAGUGAGUAGACGGUGACGGAGUGUGUGUCUGUGUGUGUGUCUGUAGGAGCUGUGAUUGGUGUUCCCCCCCCCCUCCAACUGCCAGACGUUAUGGAACGCUAGAAGAAGGCCGUCCCACAUUUUCUUCAAACGAAAGAAGCAGAUGUUCUCGCUUUAUUUUUCAGCACCGCAGCUGCUGUGCUGUCGAGGGGCCUCGCCAGAGGUCGCGCUUCUGUGGCGCGUCUCUCUUGCGCGCACCGUGUAUCGGAGAUCACUGUUAUCGGGCCCUGUGAGCAAGAGGAAAAAAAAACGAUUUGAUUGCCUCUUGUUGGUGUCUUUCCUCGGGCUACUCGGCUCUCACCUUUAUCACCAGAAAAAUAUGCAGCGUCGUUCUUCUCAUCUCCCUCCCCCCUUUCCACCACCAUCGCCGCUCACGUGCGCUCCAAAACAACGAAAG